rnacentral:piRNA from 1 species
CACUCACGCAGGCUCUAAAAUUGG